rnacentral:rRNA from 1 species
ACACGUAGGGGGCGAGCGUUGUCCGGAUUUAUUGGGCGUAAAGAGCUCGUAGGCGGUUUCGUAAGUCGGGUGUGAAAGCUUCAGGCUCAACCUGGAGAAGCCACUCGAUACUGCGAUGACUAGAGUCCGGUAGAGGAGCGUGGAAUUCCUGGUGUAGCGGUGAAAUGCGCAGAUAUCAGGAGGAACACCGACGGCGAAGGCAGCGCUCUGGGCCGGAACUGACGCUGAGGAGCGAAAGCGUGGGCAGCGAACAGGAUUAGAUACCCUGGUAGUCCACGCCGUAAACGUUGGGCACUAGGUGUGGGGUCUUUCCAACGGAUUCCGUGCCGUAGCUAACGCAUUAAGUGCCCCGCCUGGGGAGUACGGCCGCAAGGCUAAA